rnacentral:rRNA from 1 species
GACGAACGCUGGCGGCGUGCUUAACACAUGCAAGUCGAACGGAAAGGCCCUGCUUUUGUGGGGUGCUCGAGUGGCGAACGGGUGAGUAAUACGUGAUUAACCUGCCCUUGACUUUGGGAUAACUUCUGGAAACUGUGGCUAAUACCUGAUAGUACCUCCUUCUGCAUGUUGGGGUUUGGAAAUUUUCGGCGGUCGGGGAUGGACUCGCGGAUUUUAACCUUGUUGGUGGGUUAGUGGUUUCCCAAGGUUUUGACGGUUAGCCGGCCUGAGAGGGUGACCGGCCACAUUGGGACUGAGAUACAGACCAGACUAAUACGGGAGGCAGCAGUGAGGAAUAUAGAACAAUGGGCGGAAGACUGAUGCAGGAACGCAGCGUGCGGGAUGAAGGACUUCGGGUUGUAAACCGCUUUCGCCUGUGACGAAGCGUGAGUGACGGUAAUGGGUAAAGAAGCACCAGCUAACUACGUG